UCACACGGGUCUCGUGUGAAUUCCCAAUUACAUUUCCAACAGUCAAUGAGUAUUCGCCGAUUAGCGGCGCAACGACUAAUGUUUCACAAAAUUUAGACCAUUUAAUAUAUAGUCUAUUCAAACGUCAGCUGUAGUUGCGUAUGAAAUGUCAUAUCGACAAUAACUGUUUUUCCUUGAUUACUUUCUGCGAGGCAUGGAUCCUUAGCAUUAAGUGAGAUGGUGAAAGUUAUGACAGAGAAGAGAGAGCUAGCCUUAUUUGGCGAAUAUGUGACAAAAGGAGACUGUGUAACUCAAAAAAAAGCCUUCCUUCUUUUGGUUACCUUGUGCGUCAGGUGUUAAUCUUUUCUUUACUGCCUGGUUCCCAGAUGUCUCUUUGUUCUCCGCCUUGAGCUCGUCUCUAGUCCCUCGCGUGUCCUGCCCGAUUAUCGAGUCGCUCACCAGAGUUUUUGCGAAGCUACUUAGAAGAAGAUGUGCGUUUUGUAUUUGUGUUUGGCGUCAAUUCCUAAUGAGGGCCGCACAUAGUCCAAACGAGACAUUUUGAAAGCAGCCACUUCUCUGAUACGUUUGACACCAUCCUACUUAGAUGUCUGCUCUAUAAGCUUGAUAGAUCUGGUAUCGUUGGCUCUCUUCUUAGUGAAAUGGAACUUCUUAACUGACCGGUUUGCAACGAGUCGUUUUGUGGGGCUAUUAUUCGUCAUGGUUACGGGUGAAUUCACAGAAUGAUCUUAAACGUGGCAGUUUAAGUUGAGUUCGGAACAAUGUGAAACUCUGCGAAUGGGUCAGUGGAGAGCAGAACGGUUGCUACAAAUGGUGAAGCACUGAAGAACUUAAAACGAAACGAACUGGAUCAUCCACAAGGACAAGUUGCGAUUGAGAAUGUUUCUCUAUAACUGCUGCAAACUUUUGUAAAAAUUGCCCGCGAUUUACUAACCUGACAAAGGGGAAUCCGUCAGGCCCGCAACACCAAACAUAGUCCUAAGAGAUUUCAUAAUGUAUUCUAAUUUUACGAUAUUUUUUCUUAUCCGUAGAAAAAUACAAUACCAGAUCUUACACAAUUUGUGGAGAUCCUUUCAGCUUGUAGUUGUUUCCUCUUCGGGAGUUAUUUCAUACAGGGCCCACUCUAAAACUCCUCUUUCAGGCGUUCUUUGCAUCGUUUCUCUAAAGUUUGCCGGCUAGGCGUUAUGAAUAAAAUCUCUGUUAAUG